AAUGGGCGAAAGCCUGACGCAGCGACGCCGCGUGAGCGAUGAAGGCCUUCGGGUUGUAAAGCUCUGUGGGGAGGGAAGAAUAAGGGCAAGUGAAUAUCUUGUCUGAUGACGGUACCUCCUUAGCAAGCACCGGCUAACUCUGUGCCAGCAGCCGCGGUAAUACAGAGGGUGCAAACGUUGUUCGGAAUUACUGGGCGUAAAGGGCGUGUAGGUGGCAAUGCAAGUCGGAUGUGAAAGCCCGCGGCUCAACCGCGGAAGAGCACCCGAAACUGCAUAGCUAGAGUCUCGGAGAGGAAGGUGGAAUGCUUGGUGUAGAGGUGAAAUUCGUAGAUAUCAAGCGGAACACCGGUGGCGAAGGCGGCCUUCUGGACGAUGACUGACACUGAUACGCGAAAGCGUGGGGAGCAAA
rnacentral:rRNA from 1 species